UGUCACCCCUAAAUUUCUUUUCCCUCCCAUUCUUCAUUCCCCAACCCUAACCGUAUCCUCCCCCAAAUCUAAUGCAUCUACUUCUCAUUCUCUCUAUGAGUAUUUCCAGAUCUUUGAACCACCACCACCACAUCACCGACAUAGAAGGCUCCUUCAUCCUUGUUCAACAGCCCUUAAUCCCCGUUCACAACCCCUACAUUCUAGUUAAGAGCACCUGUGGAUGUUAGGUUGAAGAGGAUAUAAUGUUAUGUACUCGCUAUCUCAUCUGGUGCCCUAAUUCUUGGAAUUUUGAUUUCUUGUGUAGGUUAGAAGGCAUUUGAAAUCACCAUUAUCAGAAGUGAUGUCUUUUAACACAUUCAAUCGACCUCUAUUCUAUCCAUGGUUUUCAUCAUCGAAUUUGCUUGGAUGGUUGUUGGAGUAUUAGCAUCUGGCAAGAGAGAGGGAUUAAGUGGUGAGGCAGUUGGGCGUCAAGAAGAGUUACAAGACGGUCUAUUGUAAUUACACCAUGAUCAAUCGCCAAGUUGAAGAGGUUGAUGGGAGUAUGUUUUGGGGAUGGGAGUCUUCGCUAACAAGCUAAUCAAAUGGGAUGCAAGCAACUUGAUGCUUGUGGUUCAUUAGUCAACUGGAGCAACCACUUGCAGCUCAAGAAUCCGAUAUCCACAGAGCUAUGGCGGUUCAUAAUAGCACAUGAUGCCCAUCGCCGACACAUCAAAGCCCAUCUCCUAAUGUGGAUGACGGAAGUGGUAACGAUGAUGAGAGCGUACUAGUAACUAUGGCUAUAGUCCAAGUUGACUAUUUGGCUUGCAAUGAAAAUGGCGGAAAUAAGUUAAGUGAAGAUAAUAGUGAUCAAAACACUGAACAACCUUGACCCGUUUGACCCGUUUGAUUACACCUUCAACCCAUUAUAGAUAAAACAUAACCCAACCCAACUCAACCCAUGCAUAUACCAACCAUAGUUUUUUCAAGUUGUCUUUCUUGUUUUACGUCUUAACAGGUUAAGUAACCGUAGGGGCAAACUAGCACGUGCAGCUGCUAAGGCUGCUCGCGUACAUUCUGAUGAGGACAACGCUUUGCCUGAAAAAGAAACUGGGUCAGGGCCAGAUCCAGAUUCACCUGAUGAUCUUUUGGAUGAAGAUUAUGAUCCGUCUCCAUCUACAUCCCAUCUAACCCACAGGAAAGAUCGCAGGAGAUCAGUUUCAAGAACCAAAGAUACAGUUGUGGUCCCUGAAAAGCGUUUUAAAUUCAAAGUUAACCAAAAUGAGACUGCUAGCUACCCAGAAACAAUAAAUGGGAUAGUACAGACCAUGGAAGUUGAAGUUGUUCCUACAAAAGUAACUUAGUUUGACUUGAUUCCCUUCACAUAUCCUUUAUCUGUGGCGACGGGCGUACAACAUUUAUCAUUUUCAGAAAAAGAUAAGUCGCAUUUUGUCACAAUUUAUGCUUUUGUCAUUCUUGUAGCCAGCUAUGAUGAAGCCAACCAUCUGCUGUAAACAGUGUGUGCAUUUGGAAAUCGUUACAACUCAGAUGAAAAUAACAAUACACAUUGCCAGAGUUUAUCACUCAAGGGAUUCAUUUUGAUGGCUACCUGUCAAACUUGGAGCCGAGGCAUUGAUGGUUCAUGAAACUCCUACUAUCAAAGAAGACCAAGAUUGUUGAUUUUGGCAUGGUUAGACACUACUAUGAAGGUGUGACUUAAUUCAACAGUCAAUACUCGUGUAGUCAAUAUCAAGUAAUUGUUAGUAACAUUGCUAAUAAGGCGCUCGCAUGAGGAUCAUUUUUACUCGCAUGAAGAUUUGAAAGUGGUUCAUGAAACAUUUGUUAGAUGUUUUUUGAUGUUUGAUAUUUAGAAUUAAUUUGACAUUGAUUAGAUAUGUGUUUUCAAACAUUUGGAAUAUGUUUGGAUAAUGAUCAAACUUUUUAUUGAA